GGCACCUUGACGGAGUAGUUAACGUGCUGCCCUGCUAUCGGUGAAUCAAUUUCGCUGGAGCUGAUCAGGCAGUUCCUUCGGGAGCGCAGGUGCAAAUCCUGCAGGUGUCG